rnacentral:misc_RNA from 1 species
AAAAAAAAAAUAGACUAAAAUUUCAUGCAUCUGCUGGAACCAAUAGUUCCUUCAAAGACUCUCAGGUAACCCUUCAUUCAACAUGAACCUCUAAUAGCAAAUUUUAAUAAAUUAAAACAUGAAUACAGGUGUUUCUUUUGAUUGUUGUGACUUUGCAGUCUCAACUAAACUCAAUAAUAUGCAUGUGUUAUUCUAACUUGGAACAAAUUGGACUGGUAUCAGUGGGAUAAA